rnacentral:rRNA from 1 species
AUUGAACGCUGGCGGCAUGCUUUACACAUGCAAGUCGAACGGCAGCGCGGGCUUCGGCCUGGCGGCGAGUGGCGAACGGGUGAGUAAUACAUCGGAACGUGCCCAUGAGUGGGGGAUAGCUCGGCGAAAGCCGGAUUAAUACCGCAUACGACCUGAGGGUGAAAGCCGGGGAUCUUCGGACCUCGCGCUCUUGGCGCGGCCGAUGGCCGAUUAGCUAGUUGGUGGGGUAAAGGCCUACCAAGGCGACGAUCUGUAGCUGGUCUGAGAGGACGACCAGCCACACUGGAACUGAGACACGGCCCAGACUCCUACGGGAGGCAGCAGUGGGGAAUUUUGGACAAUGGGCGAAAGCCUGAUCCAGCAAUGCCGCGUGUGUGAUGAAGGCCUUCGGGUUGUAAAGCACUUUUGGCGGGAACGAAAAGGACUGUGCCAAUACCACGGUUCGAUGACGGUACCCGCAGAAUAAGCACCGGCUAACUACGUG